rnacentral:rRNA from 1 species
UACGGGGGGGGCAAGCGUUGUUCGGAAUUACUGGGCGUAAAGGGCGCGUAGGCGGUCCGCUAAGUUGGAUGUGAAAACUCUGGGCUUAACCCAGAGCCUGCAUUCAAAACUGACGGGCUAGAGUUCUGGAGGGGGUAGCGGAAUUCCUGGUGUAGCGGUGAAAUGCGUAGAGAUCGGAAGGAACACCAGUGGCGAAGGCGGCCACCUGGACAGAUACUGACGCUGAGGCGCGAGAGCGUGGGGAGCAAACAGG